UACAGAGGUGGCAAGCGUUUGUUCGGAAUUACUGGGCGUAAAGGGCGCGUAGGCGGCCUACUAAGUCAGACGUGAAAUCCCCCGGCUUAACCUGGGAACUGCGUCUGAUACUGGAAGGCUUGAGGAUGGGAGAGGGGGGGUGGAAUUCCACGUGUAGCAGUGAAAUGCGUAGAGAUGUGGAGGAAUACCGAUGGCGAAGGCAGCCCCCCUGGGACAUGACUGACGCUCAUGCACGAAAGCGUGGGGAGCAAACAGG
rnacentral:rRNA from 1 species